CCUUUUUGUUUCGUUUUCAUUCCAAUGGUUCUACGGAGACCACGACGAACCCUCUACGCCAUCUCACGAUUUCAAUGCUGAGAAUUCCAUUGGAGAAGCUUAGCUGAGUUUUUCAUGGCCAUGGCUUCGCGCGUUCCCACCCUGCAGGACCUGCCGGGAGGAGCCGUUCAUCGGGCGGUCAUUAGCACUUCAAGGCCAUGCCUGCCAAAUAAAUCUGCAGAAAUUAGUUUUAUGCACAAGAAUAUGACAGAUCUAACCCAAGGCCUGUAUCGUUGUUGUGUUUCCAGAAGAAACUUCCAUUUAGGGCAUUCCUUGUCAGAAUUUGAUAAACGGUCUCUUUGUAGCAAGCUGCUGGAAUUUAGAAGACCCCAACUACCCUAUCAUAAAUCCAGAAGGCUUGUGCACCCUAUGCCUUUUGCUUCUUCUGAUGAUGGUGUAGCUGUCAAUGGAACCCCACAAACAAGUUCUAGCAGUGGUAUGGAUGAUCUGAGGAUGAAACUAACUCAAUCUUUACAAGGAGAAGAUCUUAGCAGUGGGCUUGUCCAGUCCAUACAUGAUGCAGCAAGGGCCAUUGAAUUGGCCAUCCAAGAACACAGCUUGUCAUCCAAAACCUUUUGGUUCUCAAAGGCAUGGCUUGGUAUUGACAAAAAUGCGUCUGUCAAGACACUCUCUUAUCAGGCUGCGGUAUACUCUUUACUGCAAUCUGCUAUUGAAAUCUCAUCACGGGGUGAUGGAAGAGAUAGAGAUGUCAAUCUUUAUGUACAAAGAAGUUUGUUACGGUUAUCAGCUUUGUUGGAGAGUACCAUCCGGGAUGAAUUGUCUUCAAAACAACUGGUAGACCAUGACUGGCUUUGGUCUCACCAACAUCCAUUGGUGGUGAAAACUUUUGUAGAUCUCUUUGAAAGGGAUUCCCGGUUUAGUGCUGCUACAAUGUUAUACUUGAAAGGAGGCUCAUCUGGUUCAACUUCUGAAAGUGAUCUUUCACUUCUUAUGCUUGCUCUAAGCUGCCUUGCAGCAGUUAUAAAGCUUGGCUCAACGAAAGUGUCUUGUCAACAGUUCUUCUCCAUGGUCCCGGAUAUUAUUGGCAGAUUGAUGGACAUGCUUCUUGAUUUUGUCCCAAUAAACAAGGCAUAUCAUUAUAUGAAGGAUAUUGGUUUAUGUAGGGAAUUUCUUUUCCAUUUUGGUCCUCGAGCUGCCUCAGGAAAAUUUAGGACUGAUCAUGCAGUUGAAGAAAGAGCAUUUUGGGUUGAUCUUGUUCAGAACCAUUUGCAGCGAGCUAUUGACAGGGAAAGGAUAUGGUCAAGAUUAACAACAUGUGAAAGUAUUGAGGUAUUGGAAAAGGACUUGGCAAUAUUUGGUUUUUUUAUUGCCUUAGGAAGAAGUACUAAAUCUUUCUUGGCUUCAAAUGGGUUUAGCAUUGUAGAUGAUCAUAUUGAAAGCUUCAUAAGGUACCUUAUAACAGGAAGUGUGUUAUACUAUCCUCAACUGUCAUCUGUUAGUUCUUAUCAACUGUAUGUGGAGGUUGUAUGCGAGGAGUUGGACUGGCUACCUUUCUAUCAAAGUAAUGCAAUGGGCAUAAAGGAAACUCUUGAAAGUAAAGAUAGAAGGGAAGGAAUUACUCAGGGUGAAGCUAUUUUCCAAGUAUUAAGUGUUUGCUCUUAUUGGAUGACAAGCUUUAUUAAAUACAGUACUUGGCUUGAGAGUCCAUCAAACAUAAAAGCAGCAAGAUUCCUUUCUAAAGGGCACAGCAAGCUAACUGGUUGUAUGAAUGAACUUGGGGUGCUAAUAAAUUCAGGGAAGAAGAGUAGUGUUCAAGAUCAAGGUCAGCAGUGGUCAGGUGUUGGUCUUUCAGUUGAUUCAAAAACAGCUUCUUUUGAUAAGGCACUUGAGAGUGUGGAAGAAGCUUUGAAUAGGUUAGAAGAUUUACUACAGGAGCUUCAUUUAUCAAAUUCAACAUCUGGAAAAGAACAUCUAAAAGCUGCAUGUUCUGACCUUGAAAGGAUAAGAAAGCUUAAUAAAGAGGCUGAAUUCCUUGAGGCAUCUUUCAGAGCAAAAGCAGCUUCACUUGAGCAGGAGGGUGUUGAUGAGCACUCACUUUCAUCUGGAGGUGAGUCAGGAAAUUUUUCAAAUAAGGAGUCUGGAGAAGCUUGUAAAGAGACUGAAAUAAAUGAAAAACCUGCAGAUAGGAUGGUUAAAAAGCCUCGUGGAUUUUGGAGUUUCUUGGUACGAAAUUCCAGGGGAAAAUCUCAGAGUAGAGUGUCAGCUGACCAAAAUGAAAUUGAAGAUCUUGACCAAGUUGCAAUUGCCAAAAUGCACAAUGGGGACUCAGAAUCAAAUGAGAUUCGUCGCUUUGAAUUGCUAAGAAAUGAGUUGAUUGAACUAGAGAAGAGAGUGCAAAGAAGUACAGAUGACGCUCAAAAUGAUGAGGAGUCUGGACUUGCAGAUGACAAUGAACAACAUGCUUCUAUAGGGAGAUAUCCAUUAGCUAAAGCUCAGGAGAAAGAAAGUCUCUUCGCAAAGUCUAUAGUCAAGAUACGGGAAACAAGCACUGACGUCUGGCAAGGAACUCAGCUAUUGGCAGUUGAUGUUGCAGCUGCUAUGGUGUUACUAAGAAGAGCACUUACUGGAGAUGAUCUCACACAGAAGGAAAAGCAGUCUCUUCGAAGAACUUUAACUGAUCUAGCAUCUGUUGUUCCAAUUGGGAUUCUCAUGCUGCUUCCGGUCACUGCAGUUGGGCAUGCAGCUAUGCUGGCUGCCAUUCAAAGAUAUGUACCCUCUUUGAUCCCCUCUUCCUAUGCACCGGAGAGAUUAGAUCUCUUGAGGCAGCUGGAGAAGGUGAAGGAAAUGGAGUCAACUGAAAUGAACUCAGAUGAAACUGAGGGAGUUUUCCUUAAACAGAGAAUUGAAGGAUCCAUGAUUAGGGAAACAACUAAAGACAGCUGCUUCACAGGCCCCACUUCCAGCCGGAGCAUAAUCUUGAAUGGUGGUUCUGAUUGAAUGGAAUGUGACAUCCAGCAUCUCCGGUGUUGGCCUUAGCUGCUAACCUAUUUGAGAUAGGUUUGAAAUGAACAUCAGCUUGCAGCUUGGAGAACAGGACAAAACUAACACAUCAACAUGAAUUUAAAAUAAAAACUAUAUAAAAAAUGAAUUUGUGUGUUAUUUUUCAUGAAUUAUUUUGUUCCAUUGAUUUCGUCAAAUGCAAUUAUUUUAAGUCAAAAGUA